GAUGAACGCUAGCGGCAGGCUUAACACAUGCAAGUCGAGGGGCAGCACGGGUAGCAAUACCUGGUGGCGACCGGCGCAAGGGUGCGUAACGCGUGAGCAACAUGCCCUAUACAGGGGGAUAAUCCAGGGAAACUUGGUCUAAUAUCCCAUAGCAUUUAGAGGAGGCAUCUUCACUAAAUUAAAGCUUCGGUGGUAUAGGAUUGGCUCGCGUGACAUUAGCUAGAUGGUGAGGUAACGGCCCACCAUGGCUAUGAUGUCUAGGGGUUCUGAGAGGAAGACCCCCCAACUGGGACUGAGACACGGCCCAGACUCCUACGGGAGGCAGCAGUGAGGAAUAUUGGACAAUGGAUGGAAAUCUGAUCCAGCCAUGCCGCGUGCAGGAAGACGGCCCUAUGGGUUGUAAACUGCUUUUAUAUGGGAGCAAUAAGGUUUACGAGUAGACCGAUGAGAGUACCAUAUGAAUAAGCAUCGGCUAACUCCG
rnacentral:rRNA from 1 species